GCAUAUCAAUAAGCGGAGGAAAAGAAACCAACAGGGAUUGCCCCAGUAACGGCGAGUGAAGCGGCAAGAGCUCAAAUUUGAAAUCUGGCCUCCCCCGGGGGCCCGAGUUGUAAUUUGCAGAGGAUGUUUCGGGUGCGGCCGCCGUCUAAGUUCCUUGGAACAGGACGUCAGAGAGGGUGAGAAUCCCGUCUUGGGCGGGCGGUCCGCGCCCGUGUGAAGCUCCUUCGACGAGUCGAGUUGUUUGGGAAUGCAGCUCUAAGCGGGUGGUAAAUUUCAUCUAAAGCUAAAUAUUGGCCGGAGACCGAUAGCGCACAAGUAGAGUGAUCGAAAGGUUAAAAGCACCUUGAAAAGGGAGUUAAACAGCACGUGAAAUUGUUGAAAGGGAAGCGCUUGCGGCCAGACUCGGGGGCGGGGUUCAGCGGGUGCUCGUCGCCCGUGUAUUCCUCGUUUCCCGGGCCAGCAUCAGUUUCGACGGCCGGUCAAAGGCCCCCGGAAUGUGUCGUCUCUCGGGACGUCUUAUAGCCGGGGGUGCAAUGCGGCCCGUCGGGACUGAGGAACGCGCUCCGGCUCGGAUGCUGGCGUAAUGGCCGUAAGCGGCCCGUCUUGAAACACGGACCAAGGAGUCUAACAUCCACGCGAGUGUUCGGGUGUCAAACCCGUGCGCGCAGUGAAAGCGAACGGAGGUGGGAGCCCUAGGGCGCACCAUCGACCGAUCCUGAAGUCUUCGGAUGGAUUUGAGUAGGAGCGUGGCCGUUGGGACCCGAAAGAUGGUGAACUAUGCCUGAAUAGGGUGAAGCCAGAGGAAACUCUGGUGGAGGCUCGCAGCGGUUCUGACGUGCAAAUCGAUCGUCGAAUUUGGGCAUAGGGGGCGAAAGACUAAUCAAACCAUCUAGUAGCUGGUUCCUGCCGAA
rnacentral:rRNA from 1 species